UACGUAGGGUGCGAGCGUUGUCCGGAAUUAUUGGGCGUAAAGAGCUCGUAGGCGGCUUGUCGCGUCGGAUGUGAAAGCCCGGGGCUUAACUCCGGGUCUGCAUUCGAUACGGGCGGGCUAGAGUUCGGUAGGGGAGAUUGGAAUUCCUGGUGUAGCGGUGGAAUGCGCAGAUAUCAGGAGGAACACCGAUGGCGAAGGCAGAUCUCUGGGCCGUAACUGACGCUGAGGAGCGAAAGCAAGGGGAGCGAACAGG
rnacentral:rRNA from 1 species